UUGGCCUACGGGAGGCAGCAGUAAGGGAUAUUGGUCAAUGGGGGAAACCCUGAACCAGCAACGCCGCGUGAGGGAAGACGGUUUUCGGAUUGUAAACCUCUGUCCUCUGUGAAGAUGAUGACGGUAGCAGAGGAGGAAGCUCCGGCCAACUACGUGCCAGCAGCCGCGGUAAUACGUAGGGGGCAAGCGUUAUCCGGAUUUACUGGGUGUAAAGGGAGCGUAGACGGCAGAGCAAGUCUGAAGUGAAAGCCCGCGGCCCAACUGCGGGACUGCUUUGGAAACUGCCCGGCUAGAGUGCUGGAGAG
rnacentral:rRNA from 1 species